AACUAUUUGAUAGAUCGAAUAGCAUAGCCAAUGAGGUUUUACCGAGGCGUGGUUAUUGCUAGUUGAAAACUAUUCUACGCUCCCUACAAUGUCACAGCCUAGCUCAACGACAUAUGCAAAUAUAGUCAACGUUCACAGAGG